CCUAACCACAAGCCAGAUCCUUCCCUGCUCUCUCAGACCAUUUCACACCCACCUGGGAGGCCUGUCUGUUCGCUCAAAGAGCUCAAUUAGGCCAUAUUAUUUCGUUUCCACUCCACAAAUCCAACAUAGUUAACUGGGUUUGAUAUUAAUGAGCCUGUACAGCUAAAACAUGGAAAUACAAUAACUACUGUUGAUCAAUCUUUCAGACGAGUGGCCGACUCUGGAGCCCAGGAUGUUGCUUCCCAGUUUGGUGGUGAAUCCUCCACAGUCUGGUGAGUGUAAAUAUCUUUUCGCUUCACCUCUUUUCAUUGCAAUUUGCUUAUUAUAUGAAUCUGCUUAUUAUAUUGAUUGUCUUAUUAUAUCUUUGCUUAUUAUACCACUUCCUUAUUAUAUUUGCAUUGCCUUGUUUACCCUUAAAGGUAUUGUGUGUGUGCCUUUUCUUCUCCCCUCAUGCAUUUCCUGCACAGAACAUUAGCCUCCCCUGUAGCUGGGACUACAGAUGCCCGCAACCACAGCUGGAUAAUUUUUGUAUUUUUAGUA